rnacentral:rRNA from 1 species
GGCCGCGGGAAUUCGAUUAGAGUUUGAUUCUGGCUCAGGCUGUUCGCUGGCGGCGUGCUUAACACAUGCAAGUCGAACGACCUAUUUGCACGGAAUCCCUCGGGAGGAAGUGUGAAUGACUGAGUGGCGGACGGGUGAGUAACGCGUGGGCAACCUGCCCCGUACCGGGGGAUAACAGCCGGAAACGGCUGCUAAUACCGCAUAUGCUUUGCGGGCCGCAUGGCCCGCAAAGCAAAACUCCGGUGGUACGGGAUGGGCCCGCGUCUGAUUAGCUGGUUGGCGGGGUAACGGCCCACCAAGGCGACGAUCAGUAGCCGGCCUGAGAGGGCGGCCGGCCACAUUGGGACUGAGACACGGCCCACACUCCUGCGGGAGGCAGCAGUGGGGAAUAUUGCACAAUGGGGGAAACCCUGAUGCAUCGACGCCGCGUGUGCGAGGAAGUACCUCGGUAUGUAAAGCCCUAUCAGCAGGGAAUACACAGGACUGUACCUGACUAACAAUCCCCGGCUAACUACGUGCCAUCAGCCGCGGUAUUACCUAGGGGGCAAGCGUUAUCCGGAUUCACUGACCGUAAAGGUAGCGCACGCGGCAUGUCUAGUCUGAUGUGACCCUCCGGCGCCCCACCCCGGGAGUGCAUUUGGAUACUGCCAUGCCGAAGCGUCUGAAGGGAAAUUGUAAUUUCUACUUGAUUGCUGUAUUGCUUAUUUAUUAC